GAUCCUCGGUUGCAACGCACCAGCCCCGACAUCGGAGAGCGGGUAGGUAUUUUAUUUCUGAUCCGUCUGAGGGGCAAGCCGGGACGGAGAGAGAGAGAAAGUCUAGAAAUAAAAGCAGCGAGGACGUAGCGUUGGUACGGUAGAGAUGGUGCUAAGUUAGGAUGGUCCACGCGGCGCGGCUACCCCGCCACCAGCUAAGAGGCAGGUUGCCUCGCCACCUAAGAGCUUGCCCCUGAAUUAGAGGGAGCUGGGAGAAAUUAGGUCUGGUCCAACUCGUUCCGGAUUUCCUUAAGCUGCGGAAGAUUUAGUCCGAUGUCUCUAAGUGCGGUACACACGACUAAAACUGAACCUAGAACCGCGACGUUUCAGGCUGAUGGUGUAUCCACACCGAUUACCACACCCACCGACGAAAUCGAAGAGGCCAACAGCCUAGAUUCUCUUCCUACAACAGCAGUACAAGGUUUCAAACCAGAGCGGCAGCAAGUGAACGCGAAGUAUAUCUCUUUGUUACCUCGUGCCUGCUCUGCUCCUUCGUCUUCUCCACAACCCCCUGUAUUAGAAUCGGCCUCCACUACAGAACAGCAUAGAAUUGCUGUUACUACCAGACCUUCUUGUCCCACUUCUUCAUCCGAUGCCACUAGCUUCUCACCUCCUCCUUUCUGUACUAAUACUACCGAGGCCACUGGGUUACGACCACGUUCUUCCUCGGGCACCACUGCCAAGGCCACUAGCUUGUCUCAGGCCGGCCGGGAGGCCUAGCUCGUGUUGAAGCCAUUUCUCUGCUCCGGGCUUCUCUUUCAACGCGAGCCUACUUUCCAAACUCUAGUGUCGUUAGCGCGCGCUGCCGGUUGGCUAACUUGGGUAGGCCUGUUUCCUUCGUAAACGACGAGUCACACCCCAAGAACAAUCCCUGUUCAAGGGCUAGUCGUAGGUGGUUACCAUAUUCGGAUUCUUCCUUCUGGGGCUCCACAGAAUACAGUUACUAUACGUCUUUCUACUAGAAACCUGACUCGACUUCCGUUUAAAGUGGGAUGGCGGUCUCCUCCUAGGCCUCUUCGGUCAAUUUCUCGUUAAUUAGUUCAGAGCUAAAGAAUUCUUCUACCGUCUGGAUAAGUCCUCCACCUUCUUACUCGACUUUUGCAAACAGCUGUUUCUUCUCUGUGGUCUUAAGUAGCCCUUUAUACUCUUCUAGUCUCUAGUGACCGCGCGUAAACACCGGGUGUUCUGUAGCCUUUUCUCAUUCUUCAACAGUCGCUGUUUGUUCUUUUUACGACGCUUCUUCUUCGAAGUGGUAGUGUGCCACAGUCCACCGAUGGAGUUUCGGGCAGGAUUCACCCGGUUCCGACUCUUACUAGACGAACUAUUUCCCUAGCUUGGUCUCUGUUACUUGACCGGUUUGGCAACGGCCUGAACCAAGAAGCCCCGACCGCUUUGGAACCUGGGACAUAGUCCCUUUACGCAAACCUGCCUGCUCGUUUACUCUUAUGAUCAGUUCUCCGAAGUCGUGAUAUAGCUACGUCGUGUGGUUCCCUGCAAGCAAGGUCUGUCUCUCUUGCUGUUCGAGUGUUACUGGGAGUCCUUAGGACUCGUGGGACCUGCCUGUGCUCCGUGCGAUCCGAGGCAAGGCACCUUCCGACCAAAAGGCCUGUGUCCGCCAAUGUUUACGAUC
rnacentral:rRNA from 1 species